rnacentral:ncRNA from 12 species
GUUAUUUGAGGUGGACAAUUUCGUGGCAUCCACACGCCGAUGGUAACGACAGGGGUAACCCGAGAGAUGCAGGAGAACGCCACGCCUGCCAAAUAAC